UCUCCGCAUAAGAAAAUGUGUUUUUGAGUAUUACAAGUAACUCUUAGUUGGCAAAAUAAUGCACAAGAGUGGCACAAAGUACUUCUACAAUAAGAAUAAGUUGAAAAGUUUGGAAAAAUACGUGAAUUUUCGUGUCAAGUUUCGGGGCGAAACUUCUUUUAAGAGGGGUAGAUUGUAAUCCCCCGUAAUUUUAUACAUUUCAUUUAUAUAUUUUACCGUAUAUUUAAUAUAUUUAAAUAAGAAUUUAUGAAUUUUGGAAAUAAAUAUAUAAUUAACAUAUAUUUAUUUAUUACAUAUUAAUAUUUUCAACGAUUUACGAAAUCGAAAAUGAUUUUAGAAUUUUAAGUAGAAAAGAAUUUGAAUUACGAAAAUUGAUUGAAUUUAGAAAACGAUCCUAUUCAGUUUUGGAUUCGAAUCAUAAAAGCUAAAUCCUAAUUCUAGCCCACUUGGGAAAGCCCAAUAUUAAAACCCAAAACUCAAACCCUCCCUUUACUCUAAUUCACGUAAAACAAAAAUAAAAAAAUAAACAAAGCCAAAACCCCAUUUGAACUUCACAUGAAAACGCAAAAGAGAAAAAAAAAAAAGAAGCAAAACCUAUCUCUCAUUCAAACUCACGUAAACUAGCAAACCCUCAAACCUUGGUACUCUCUGCCCAGCCGCCAGCCACCAUACACCCGCCGGACCUCCACCGUCCUCGUCACAGCCGGUAAGCUCUUCUCCGUCGUCCUUCCUUUUCUCUUUCGUUCCCCUUUUCUUUUCGUUCUUCUUUCUUCGUUUUCACCCCUCCUCACGUGAUUAUGCUUGAACCUCGCACAGCCCCAGCCGCCGACCACCUACCGCCGCCGCGACCGCCAGCUGCACGGUAACCUUCUUCUUCUCCUUCGUUCUUCUUCCUUUCUCUUUCGUUCGUUUCUUGCAGCUUCGCUACCCUUCUCACGAUCUUUUUCGCUCUUGCUCUCCUCGCUCGUUUUGGUUUUUGCGCAGCAGCAACCGAGUCGCGCCACCCUCUCCUUGCUGUCGCCGAGCAGUGAUGCCGCCUCCGGCCGCGCCUCACCGCCUGCCACCGUCGUCCUCUCUCGUCGGCGGAGAAUUCUCCUUAGGCGACUUUUGAAUUAUUAAAGUGGUCUUGCAGUUUGUUUACACAAGUCUCUAAGGAUCAAUAAGCGUUGCCCAUCUACAGGUUUGAAGAUGAUGCAUCAUUGGGAUCGGGAUUAGAGAGCUUGUAGUUAUAUUUGUUUUAUUAAGUGAUUUGGGUUGUUAACUUAUAUUUGAAAGUUGUCGUACUAUUCGUAUUUCCUUAUUUCCGUUAAUUGGUUUUGGACUUAGUAUGUAAUCGAUUAUUUAUGAACCUAAAAGUUAGUUUUAUGUUUUCCGCUGCAAAAUUCUGAAUAAGCCGUACGUUUUCAC